rnacentral:rRNA from 1 species
AGAGUUUGAUCCUGGCUCAGGAUGAACGCUGGCGGCGUGCUUAACACAUGCAAGUCGAACGAAGCACUUUAUUUGAUUUCCUUCGGGAUUGAUUAUUUUGUGACUGAGUGGCGGACGGGUGAGUAACGCGUGGGUAACCUGCCUUGUACAGGGGGAUAACAGUUGGAAACGGCUGCUAAUACCGCAUAAGCGCACAGUAUCGCAUGAUGCAGUGUGAAAAACUCCGGUGGUAUAAGAUGGACCCGCGUUGGAUUAGCUAGUUGGUGAGGUAACGGCCCACCAAGGCAACGAUCCAUAGCCGACCUGAGAGGGUGACCGGCCACAUUGGGACUGAGACACGGCCCAAACUCCUACGGGAGGCAGCAGUGGGGAAUAUUGCACAAUGGGCGAAAGCCUGAUGCAGCGACGCCGCGUGAGCGAAGAAGUAUUUCGGUAUGUAAAGCUCUAUCAGCAGGGAAGAUAAUGACGGUACCUGACUAAGAAGCACCGGCUAAAUACGUGCCAGCAGCCGCGGUAAUACGUAUGGUGCAAGCGUUAUCCGGAUUUACUGGGUGUAAAGGGAGCGCAGGCGGUGCGGCAAGUCUGAUGUGAAAGCCCGGGGCUCAACCCCGGUACUGCAUUGGAAACUGUCGUACUAGAGUGUCGGAGGGGUAAGCGGAAUUCCUAGUGUAGCGGUGAAAUGCGUAGAUAUUAGGAGGAACACCAGUGGCGAAGGCGGCUUACUGGACGAUAACUGACGCUGAGGCUCGAAAGCGUGGGGAGCAAACAGGAUUAGAUACCCUGGUAGUCCACGCCGUAAACUCCCAUAAACGGAGGUGUUGGGAAGCAUUGCUUCUCGGUGCCGUCGCAAACGCAGUAAGUAUUCCACCUGGGGAGUACGUUCGCAAGAAUGAAACUCAAAGGAAUUGACGGGGACCCGCACAAGCGGUGGAGCAUGUGGUUUAAUUUGAAGCAACGCGAAGAACCUUACCAAGUCUUGACAUCCUUCUGACCGGUACUUAACCGUACCUUCUCUUCGGAGCAGGAGUGACAGGUGGUGCAUGGUUGUCGUCAGCUCGUGUCGUGAGAUGUUGGGUUAAGUCCCGCAACGAGCGCAACCCUUAUCUUUAGUAGCCAGCGGUUCGGCCGGGCACUCUAGAGAGACUGCCAGGGAUAACCUGGAGGAAGGCGGGGAGGACGUCAAAUCAUCAUGCCCCCUAUGACUUGGGCUACACACGUGCUACAAUGGCGUAAACAAAGGGAAGCAAAGCUGUGAGGCCGAGCAAAUCUCAAAAAUAACGUCUCAGUUCGGACUGUAGUCUGCAACCCGACUACACGAAGCUGGAAUCGCUAGUAAUCGCAGAUCAGAAUGCUGCGGUGAAUAAAGUCCCGGGUCUUGCACACACCGCCC